rnacentral:lncRNA from 7 species
ACUAGCUGUUUUUGACUAUGCAAGAUCGCCCAGUGUGAGAAGCUGCAAAUAACUUAUACACUGUGAAUGUGUUUGGUGCUGCUUUUUCUUUGGUGCUGCGCGUGGGUGUGUGUGUGUAUUCCCAGAAGAGAAACAAGGAGGAGUGGAUGAGUAUUGCCAGGCACGCCAGUUCAAAGUUACUUCUUAAACAAGGAUUUUUUAAGUAGACAAAUAUUAACCAUGGCCCACCAGAGAUGAGAAAGCUUCUCCAUCUAGGGACAAUGAGGCCUGGUCAGGAAAGUAGAUGACCUGGUUCUGAUCCUGCCAAUGUCUGCUGUGCCAUGAACUGCCCUGAAGACCUUGUCUCACAAUGAAGAAAUGAGUCCAUUCAUAAGAGAACCACUUGCAUCAUCUCCCACUUUCCUUAACAAGAAACAGCAACCUGUUAAAUGGAGAGACUGUGAAAGUUACAGAUGUGCUUACAUCCUAAAAUGUAUUUGAGUAAUUAUAUGACAAGCAGUCAUCAAAUAGUUUCAUUAUAGGCCAGAUGAAAGUCAUCUGUGGUACGCCACCAAAAAGACAAAAAGGGAAGUGGGUAAGGAGAGCUGUUAGCAUUCUUUAAAGAGUUUAGCUAAACGAAUAGACAAACUGGAAAAAGACAGUUUAAUUUUUAUCAUUAUGUUGCCCCAAAUGUAAUGCACAUGUACAUUCCUUUGAUUUAUGCUUCUCUUUGUAUCUCAUGCAAUUGUGCUUUUAUAAUACAGUACCAAUAAAUGGAGUUACUUGCU